ACGGAAUAGCCCAGGGAAACUUGGAGUAAUACCGUAUACGCCCUUCGGGGGAAAGAUUUAUCGGAGAAGGAUUAGCCCGCGUUGGAUUAGGUAGUUGGUGGGGUAAUGGCCUACCAAGCCUACGAUCCAUAGCUGGUUUGAGAGGAUGAUCAGCAACACUGGGACUGAGACACGGCCCAGACUCCUACGGGAGGCAGCAGUGGGGAAUCUUAGACAAUGGGCGCAAGCCUGAUCUAGCCAUGCCGCGUGGACGAUGAAGGCCUUAGGGUUGUAAAGUCCUUUCAGCUGGGAAGAUAAUGACGGUAC
rnacentral:rRNA from 1 species